UACGUAGGGGCUAGCGUUAUCCGGAAUUACUGGGCGUAAAGGGUGCGUAGGUGGUUUCUUAAGUCAGAGGUGAAAGGCUACGGCUCAACCUUGACAGGCCAUUCGAAACUGUGGGACUUGAGUGUCAGAGGGGAAAGUGGAAUUCCUAGUGGAGCGGUAAAAUGCGCAGGUAUUAGGAGGAACACCGGUGGCGAAGGCGACUUUCUGGCUGACAACUGACGCUGAGGCGCGAAAGCGUGGGGAGCAAACAGGAUUAGAUACCCUGGUAGUCCCUGAGCGGG
rnacentral:rRNA from 1 species